UGGGGAAUAUUGCGCAAUGGGCGAAAGCCUGACGCAGCAACGCCGCGUGAGUGAUGAAGGCCUUCGGGUCGUAAAGCUCUGUCGGAGGGAACGAAUGCUCCUGAAGUUAACAGCCUCAGGAGGUGACGGUACCCUCAAAGGAAGCACCGGCUAACUCUGUGCCAGCAGCCGCGGUAAUACGGGAGGUGCAAGCGUUACUCGGAAUUACUGGGCGUAAAGCGUCCGCAGGUGUCCUACCACGUCUGAGGUAAAAGCACGGAGCUCAACUCCGUGUACGUCUUAGAAACGAGUAGGAUUGAGUCACUCAGAGGCAUCUGGAAUGUCGCGUGUAGGGGUAAAAUCCGUUGAUCCGCGAUAGAACGCCAAAAGCGAAAGCAGGAUGCUGGGGGUGUACUGACACUCAGGGACGAAAGCGUGGGGAGCAAACGGGAUUAGAUACCCACGUAGUCCCUGAGCGGGCUGGCAAGGCGCAU
rnacentral:rRNA from 1 species